rnacentral:misc_RNA from 1 species
AGAACCAUGGUGCAAGAACCCCAAACAGUCAUGAGCUCUUGAAGAAUAUCUGAGAUAUAUUCCCGUGCUGGGUUCAUUUCUUAGUAAAAGAACAAGCUUCUCCACUAACUUGGACGCAGCAAAUAGCACACCAACACCUUGAAGUAGGAAAAGGGGAGAGAAGAGUAUUGGAAGUGGGAUGUUUCUAGCACCGGCAGGUGUUCCCUCUAGACGCAUACAAAGGAGAAAUUGAAAACCAAUUAAUGGAAUUUUCAUAAUAUGGCCACCAAUGUCCUGAAGGCCACACAUUCUAUCCUGAAGU